AAACCUGUUCUGCCCAACCAUCUCCUACGUCUGGCAUGUUCUGUUCCCAUCGCGGUUCUGCUGUAGGACAGCCAAGUCUGUUCUGGGAGCUCCAAGGUGCUAAGGGCCUCAAGUUGUGGCCAGACGCCUGGGCGUGAUGAGAACACUCACAGACACUGCUUCCUGCAUAUGGUAAAUGCCUGCAUCUCGGCAGGACAGCCCGUCUCCUGGGUCACUUAGUGUCCUGGCAAACGAGGCCUUUGCAGAGCCAUCGGGCUGCUCAUCUUCUAUGAUGCAUCAGACCCCAGCGAAUGAGUUCCCUUCCUAAACAACUAUUAUGGGGUUGGUCAAAAAGAAAAAAAAAAAGAGCCCACCUAACAGUGGCAGAAGAGAUGGAAGGCAAUGCUGAGGCCAGGGCAGAACAACAGACGCCGGGUGGAAGACUGAACACGAGCAAGGAGGAAGAGGAGGAAGGAAACUCAAAUUUAAGUCUUUCAGCUUUUCAAAGGAUUUUUAAAUUGUUUCACCUAUGUGCAAUGGAAUGAAGUUCAAGAGUAAAUGACAAAGCCCUGGAUAGGCAACUGAUUAUUGUCUCUUGGGCUGUUUCUACUAGAGACCUAUUUUAUGUCACCCAAUACAAUUCACUUAAGAAAGAGAAAGCACACACAUUGGACACACAGGGAGAAGCACUGCUAAGAAUGAACCUCGAGCUUCUGAUUUUCAGACUAUAGUCUUACAGGUCAGGCCGUCUUGUAAGAUGAAGAGCACUUCAACAAAAGCAGCGCGUUGCUCUUAGGGAGAGGAAGGGAGCCAAUAAAUCACUAAAGACAUAGUGUUGGUUCACAAGAGCAGAAUCUGUAAUGUAUUAUUUUCAUUCAUAUUGGGGAAAAUAAAAAGGAGAAAAAGUAGGCACCUCAAGAUGAAUGUUUAUGUUGCCAGUAAAGAAACCACAUAGAUCACUCAAGGAAAAAAAGAGCUUUUACUGGUUUUGAAAUAAAGUCAUCUCUGCUGCGGAGGCUGAUGACACGGUGCUGUGAAUAACAGCUGUGCACCAGGCGCCCUGACUGUAGAAGAAAGGAACUGCCCUGUAAUCCCUGAGGACCUGCAUGCUGCAGCCACACAAGGUGCGAGUUCCCAGGGCUGCUAAGUGAACAAAAGGGUCCUAAUGAAGGAGGAUGGUGUAUCAAGGGCUUCACCGGUAUUCCUGAGAACCAGCUCCAGGCAGGACUGAUCCUUUCAGCUGUCUUUUGGAUCCCUAACUGCUUGGGGCCAUGUCAGCUGGCUGACAGUCCACUGCUCAAGCUGCCAAAGCACAUGGAUUGGAAGGGUAAGAAUCUAUAUCUUUUGUGCCUACAGAUAUGGACCAGUCUCUCUGACAAUCUUAGGAUAAAGUGAUUUUCUCCUACUCAAUAUAGAAAGACCAUAUGGUUUUGAAUAACCAUUGCUCUUUAUGAGACACUAGGAAAAUGACAGAAAAUUCAACAAGGACUGUCAUUUUUUAAGUUUUACACUCUGUUCUACAAAGAAGAAAAAUGUUAAGUGUCAUAUUGUACUGUUUUGGCAAUAAGCAGUAAUAAUUAUCAGGAAGAAAAUAUUUUAUUAUGGGGGGAGGUAAAUUACAAAUUAUUUUUAGUGAUUUCUUGAAAGAAAAACAGUGAUUUCUCCCUCUCUACUCUCCCUCAUCCCACUCCUCAAAGAAGACCCUAAAAGACACACACACACACAACCCUACAAACAAAACAAACAAAAAACAACCCUGAAAGAGGAGAUAAAGCAAGAAAAAUGCUCUCAUGCCUAGGAGCUAUCUACCCCUGGAAAAAAAAAAAAACAAUAGCACAUGCAUAUUUUGGGAAACCGAACAGCACAUGCAUAUUUCUAUAUUUUGGGAAACCACAAUAUGUCGACUCCAUGGAAUCUAGGGCCACUGAAAGAUUAAUUGUACUGGACUCUGCUCCAGUUUGGGUUGGAAGCUUUAUUUUUAGAAACCCCACUAUCGUCUUUAUGGCAAAUUCAUGCUUUGCUUUCUACGGUUUUUGUGUUGGCACUUUUUUUAAUGAACUCCAUCCCAUUUUUAAAAUAAUCUGGCUUAUUUCAAAUAGCCUGUAAAUAUCUUCUAUCACGCUAAGGGAAGCCUCAACAGAAAACUAUCAAAACGUUGCCACGGUUAUGUAAUCAACGAUUUAAUAACCUCAAAAAGGAAACAUUCAAUUUUAAAGUAAUCCCAAACAAGUAUGCAUCCCGGCUGCGGGUUAAGGGUUUUAGUUUACAAAGCAAUGUUACAAUGUUUAAAAACAUACCAUGCUUACUUCCAUCCUUUUCCCCUGCCCCUCAUCCUCGACGCUAAGGAACUGGUACAUACUAGAGAUCAGAUUUCUUCUAUGUCAAAUUUGCAUGGCAGGUAAGUCCCAAAUAUAUUUCUUCUUCCAUCUUCUCAUUUGGACAUGGGGGAGAGGUGUUCUACUGUUUUGACCACAUUCUUCCCCUCUGUGUAAUGGUGAUGUAACAAAGUCAGCAUCCCUAAAGCAAAGGGCUUUCCCUCUUACGACGUUAACUGUGUACAGGUGGUCCACAGACUACGGCUGUUCACGUGAUUUGCAGAGAAAAUUAUUGUAAGCUAUUAAGCUAUAUAUUAGGUGGAGGGAGGAAUCGGGGGAGGGAAGGUGAGUCAAUGAGCAAUACUGUUUGCUAGCUAUGAGAUUACUAUUACUUCAGUGUUAUUCACUGUCAGGUCUCAUUGCUAUGACAUACAACACAUUAAAUGCUUUUUGGUUUGGCCACAGCCCACUCCGGUGAUCAAAAGUGCAAGGUGCAGGACAGAAUGCUUUUUACUAGGAGGUAAUAGCUAAUAAAAUAACUCCUCUCACAAAUGUUGCUCUUCACAUCUAGUCUGUUCAGUCUUCUCUAAUCACAGCUGUGCAGGAUGAUCCCUCUGCCCUCGAUGAAAACACAUACUUGUCAAUCAAACAAGACACUUCCCAUUCAGGAAGACAGUGCUUCUCAUGGUCACUUGGAUGUGCAUCCUCCAGAAGCUGGUCUUCCCUGGGGACUUCCAGGGAUGGGGCGGGCAUGUUAACUAGGGUGGUGAGGGAGCCCUUUCCUACACCCUUUCCUGCGGCGAAUCUCGCCUGCCCACGGUGUACUCUCCAGGGUUAAGACCUUCUCCUAAACAGGGCGCACCCCUCUAGCACUCAAAUCACCCUGACUUUGUUCCUUCAGGCAAAAUUGCCUCACCCAAAAGGCAUGUUUUUGCAUGUUUCCUCUCACCAACAAAGCAUUUCUCACCAAACUCAAAAAUAACUGUUUUUCAAGGUAGCUGGCCUUCCUGGCACCGACAUUACGACCAGUCGAUGAACCCACAUGUCAAGUCCAUGCAUGGCUAAUCCCUCCCUGCCUGGUUCCAGAUUCCGCCCAAGAGGAGCUGCCUCCUGCCCUUGGCGGGGAAGGGAGCCCGGCCCGGCUGCACAUGGAUGCUCGGUCGGUUUCCUGCCGCUGACCUGAGCUACAUGUGUGCACAAGGUAUCGUGUCUAGGAAGAAAUCUAAUAAACUCAGUUUGGCGUCCCUCCAUUCUGAAGGGAAAACGUGCUCCGGCUGAUAGAUGGGGACAGCCUUGAGCAAACCACACUUGGCAGCUUAUAGUUUCAGGCAUUCAUUCACUUUGUCUGUUGAUGCCACUCAAGCCACCUGAAGCCCCUACUGUGUGCUGCAUACUUCAGGAGAGGCAAGUGGGGAGACAGGGACAGUGGGGGGACACACAGGCCAGCCCUGCCUCGGGGUUCCUGGUACCAUGGCGACAGCACGUAGCUGCCGUGAGGAGGAAAGGAACUCAUCAUGCAGCAACCUGGGCACCUGAAUCUGAAGCUAAGGAACGCGAGGAAGGGAAAAAAGUCUUUAGAAAGACCUGGUUUAUGAAAAGGUGCUGAAAAGCAGAGAAACUGCCACGUCUGCCAGAAGACACAACCAGUCAAAGCCUCCCGGCCCUCAUCGCCUGAUGAUUAGAUGUGAAGAGAGUCAUUGUCGGCAGUGGAGACAAGGAGGAAGUUCACCUUAGUUUAGGAAGGGCAGAGAGGCGGCAGGAGAGUCAGAGGGCAAGUCACAGCCAUGUGUUAGAAGGUUUAAGGAGGACGAGCAUGAUGCAUACAAGAGCAGAAUUCUAGGGGGACUGGGGCAGAACCUGCAAGCGACACGGAAUCCUGCUAAGGCUGUGCUGUGACCCACACUGAAAGGUGAGACUUGCCCCUUCAUUAGACGGUGCACAGUCCUUCCAAGCGGGGAGGGAAGAGGCUUAGGACACCAACACCCAGAGGAAGGGAAGGCUGCCGCUGGCUGUGAUCCUCCUCCUGGGCCAUCGGCAGCUCUGAGUCUCGCUGCCUCCACCCUCUGUGACAGUCUUCCAUGGCCCCAAUACCAGACUCCACACUGCUCCAGGCUCCCGAGAGGAGCCCUGCACAGACCACCACCCAGGGCUCAGAAGGGAGAUGGCUUCACCUCGGAGGAUGGGAACAAGGGCAGCCACCGGCCAGUGGGCUGUCACAUCCACUGGGACAGCCUCACUCGCUUCUGGGCAGGGUCAUCCCAAGCACCUUCGGAUGGUGGAGCAACUCUUAUAUUGAUGGCAACAUAUUUCACAAACUGAGAAGCGCUCUACAAAUGUGAAGGGUGCACCAGGCAAAGGAAAGGGCAUUGUUCGUUUUGUGGCAUCCGAAAUAAGACUGUCCACUUCUGCUGAACUAAAAAAAAAAAAGAUUAAGCACUUGUCUACCACGUCUUCAAUCUAAAGCAUUUGUCUUACAUUGGAGAUGACAUGAUUGAUUCUCAAAAACAAGGAACAAAAAAAAAAGGGAACAUGUUUGGAUGGAAUAUAUACAAUUAGAGAUAUUCCUUUUACAAAAUGGAAAUGGUCCAAUUAUAGAAAUUAUUUUCACUUCCCCAAAUUCUCAUUUAAAUGCUGAGCUUCCUAGCAGCCUAUGAGUCUCUUACUGUUAAAUAUUGCUCUUUAAGUUAUUUUGCAACGAGAAACCAAUUGAAUGGAGGUACAGGGAAGCCUAAAUUGAUGGAUACAGUUAGGUGUUUUUAAAUUUCACCCUCACUAAAAAACAUAGCAAUAACACACUUAAAAAUAGAAUGUGAAUGCCACUUAAGGACUAAUUAAGGAAAAGGAAACAUGAUAUGCAAGUGGCAGAGUCCCUGGAUAUUAGCUGGGCACACAGGACAUGUUUAGGUCACAAUAAAUUGCAGAACAGGGAACAUGAAUUUUAAAGUCCAGGUAGCUACUGACAGCGACAAUCAGAACAAGCAUGUCUCUAACUAUAAAGAAAUGAGAGUUAUUUUCAAUUCAAAAACACUUAAAACUGCCUUACAUAUGUCCCUAGUAGCAGAUGAGUUGCCACUACCGUACUUAAGAUUACAUCAAGUUACAGGCAAUGACUUUCAAUCCCUGCCCCUCCCAUACACACAAAAAGUCUUUCACACGCAAAUGGAGAAUGUGCAUUAUCUUCCUCUCAUCCUACUCCCCAGGCAACCCACUCCAGCUGCCCUGGGUCAAGAGCCAGCAGGGAACCCAGCAGGGAGCAGGAGCCUGCAGUAUCCUCUGGUAGGGACGGUCAGCCCCACCCAGGAGAAUUCAUCCCUGACCCCACCCAUGAAUUCCGCCCCAGAUCUGUUUCACACCUACCUCCUUUCUUCCAAAUCUUGUCACAGUAUCCCCCUGGGAGUCGAUGUCACUCAUCUCUCAUUAAUGAGUUUUCAAAUGAUCAUAAUCACAGCUGAUGAGUCAUGCGCAUCCAGAAGAUGUUUUAUUUUUAAACUAAACCAAUCCUAAGAGCCCUGGCACCAACUUUCCCCCAAACUCCCAUCCCCUGCCUUACAAGGUAGUUAAACCAAGUGUUCUUAAGGUGCCUUUAAUCAAUGUUUUUCCAUAAUCUUGCUUUCCCCAAUUCCUACUAUUCUAACAGUGUGGGUUUCUGCUCCUCAUUGCAAAUAUAUAAUAUUUUAAUAACAUCAGAGGUUAUAUAACUUAGGUGGAAUGGCCUAGAAACCUAAUUUAUAAUAUUAUUUCUAUAGAAAGACAUAUUCUAAAUAAAUUUUAUGAAUUACAACCACACUGUAAGCUAUAGACAAUACUGAAAGCAAACAAACACACAAGCAAACAUAUAGCCAUAAAAGGAAACCCUCUAAGGUUAGUCUACUCCCUACUGUUUACACAGUAAACAUUUACUGUACAGAAAGAUAGAGCAAACCAAGGACCUCAUCAAAUUCAAUUCCAGAUGGUGUCUCUCUGCUGUCACCAGGCACCUGGUCCAACUGUAAUGUUAUCCUCAGCAGAGCAUGAUGAUGAUGCAGAUAAAUUUGCUUCCCUCUGAGGCUUAAUGUAUUCCAAUGCCAAAUAUUAACAAAUAUUUUUUCAAUUUUCUAUAUCACUAUUUCAUGAAGGUAAAUGGCUGAGAACUGACUGUAUUACAAUAAAGCAUUUUUAUAUUUUAAAGGAAUAAAUGAAUGUUCAUAGCAUUGACGUUUAGUAAAAACGAACUCAAGAAAAGAUGCCAUUUACAGAGAACGUCUUGAAGUUGCUUCAGGGAGAGGGAAAAAGGGAGAAAAGAGAGAAAGAGAGGGAGAUCCAAGAGCAUUUAAUGCAGCUCCUACUGUUUAUUCAUAAUUUGUAUUCUUUCAGGCAAGCAAUUUAAAAUAUUUCACUAAAUCUACUAAUAAAUUAACGCUACUGAAA